UAUUUUUUCUCCUUCAUAUCCCGGAUGUACCAGCUGAAAUCUUGACUGUACCAAACGUUCUUUAGAGGUAGCAGAUGAGAAAACGAUUUAGAUAUUAUGCCACUGCAUAAGCCCACCUGGCCCAUUGAACCUGAAAUAUACUCCAGAAGCAUAUGUGACAGAUCAAAGAGCCAGGUCCAGCUAGACUCAUGCCUUGACGACAGGUAACAGG